CAAAUGAGAAACAGUCGGAUGCACUCACACUAAUGACUGUCUGUCUUCAUCUGUUCUAGAUUCAGUUCUGUCUUUAAGUCUUGUAGCGGGAAUAUGUACUGGUGUUGGUGUUGUUCUGCUGCUGGUUGCAGCUGUUCUUGGUGUGAUUUACUAUCGUUACAGGAGCUCUAAAAUGGAAGACAUUGAGAAAAACAAGUUUGAGCAGCUGUUGAAUGUCCCAGUAUGAGAAGGACAAAGGCCACGUAACCUGAGAGGAUAUCAACAGGAUCGGUCAAAAAAAGAAAUCUGGAUAAUGGAUCCCCUUAGAUGUUUGAAAUGGGGGGUGCACAAAUGCCAUGUCUUUGUUUGAUCUGAGUUGAUCUGAAUCCAAUAGCAACAUUUUGAGUUUUAAUAAGAUCUGACACCAGUGCUGUUCUUUUCCUCGAUCACUGAUGUGAAGUGAUGAUCACUAUUUAAUGUUUUAAACUCAAUCUACGAAUUAUACUACUUCAUUAUAAAGAAAAACAAUAAUCAUCAUAAUCCAAAAAAUACAGUAUAUACACUGACUAUACUAUAUUUACUACACUGAAAAAAUUGUCAACUUUUCUUCAACUUUUUGAACACUAAAG
rnacentral:lncRNA from 1 species